CAGCAGUGGGGAAUAUUGCACAAUGGGGGAAACCCUGAUGCAGCGACGCCGCGUGGAGGAAGAAGGUCUUCGGAUUGUAAACUCCUGUUGUUGAGGAAGAUAAUGACGGUACUCAACAAGGAAGUGACGGCUAACUACGUGCCAGCAGCCGCGGUAAAACGUAGGUCACAAGCGUUGUCCGGAAUUACUGGGUGUAAAGGGAGCGCAGGCGGGAAGACAAGUUGGAAGUGAAAUCUAUGGGCUCAACCCAUAAACUGCUUUCAAAACUGUUUUUCUUGAGUAGUGCAGAGGUAGGCGGAAUUCCCGGUGUAGCGGUGGAAUGCGUAGAUAUCGGGAGGAACACCAGUGGCGAAGGCGGCCUACUGGGCACCAACUGACGCUGAGGCUCGAAAGUGUGGGUAGCAAACAGGAUUAGAUACCCUGGUAGUCCACACCGUAAACGAUGAUUACUAGGUGUUGGAGGAUUGACCCCUUCAGUGCCGCAGUUAACACAAUAAGUAAUCCACCUGGGGAGUACGACCGCAAGGUUGAAACUCAAAGGAAUUGACGGGGGCCCGCACAAGCAGUGGAGUAUGUGGUUUAAUUCGACGCAACGCGAAGAACCUUACCAAGUCUUGACAUCCCUUGACGGACAUAGAAAUAUGUUUUCUCUUCGGAGCAAGGAGACAGGUGGUGCAUGGUUGUCGUCAGCUCGUGUCGUGAGAUGUUGGGUUAAGUCCCGCAACGAGCGCAACCCUUAUGGUCAGUUACUACGCAAGAGGACUCUGGCCAGACUGCCGUUGACAAAACGGAGGAAGGUGGGGAUGACGUCAAAUCAUCAUGCCCUUUAUGACUUGGGCUACACACGUACUACAAUGGCGUUAAACAAAGAGAAGCAAGACCGCGAGGUGGAGCAAAACUCAAAAACAACGUCUCAGUUCAGAUUGCAGGCUGCAACUCGCCUGCAUGAAGUCGGAAUUGCUAGUAAUCGCGGAUCAGCAUGCCGCGGUGAAUACGUUCCCGGGCCUUGUACACACCGCCCGUCACACCAUGAGAGUCGGGAACACCCGAAGUCCGUAGCCUAACCGCAAGGAGGGCGCGGCCGAAGGUGGGUUCGAUAAUUGGGGUGAAGUCGUAACAAGGUAGCCGUUCGAGAACGAGCGGCUG
rnacentral:rRNA from 1 species